rnacentral:rRNA from 1 species
AUUGAACGCUGGCGGAAUGCUUUACACAUGCAAGUCGAACGGCAGCACGGGGCAAUCUGGUGGCGAGUGGCGAACGGGUGAGUAAUACAUCGGAACGUGCCCAAUCGUGGGGGAUAACGUAGCGAAAGUUACGCUAAUACCGCAUACGAUCUACGGAUGAAAGCGGGGGAUCGCAAGACCUCGCGCGAAUGGAGCGGCCGAUGUCAGAUUAGGUAGUUGGUGGGGUAAAGGCUCACCAAGCCAACGAUCUGUAGCUGGUCUGAGAGGACGACCAGCCACACUGGAACUGAGACACGGUCCAGACUCCUACGGGAGGCAGCAGUGGGGAAUUUUGGACAAUGGGCGCAAGCCUGAUCCAGCCAUUCCGCGUGCAGGAUGAAGGCCUUCGGGUUGUAAACCUUUAGCUUUGGGGAAGAAACAAAUGACGGUACCAAAGGGGCAGCCACGGCUAACUACGUGCCAGCAGCCGCGGUAAGAGUCACGUCG